CUCAGGCUCUACUGAUCUUCCCCACCUGGAAUUCUAGCGGCACUGGGAGAUUAUGAAAUUAUGCUUUUUAACUCCAGUCUUCCUCAGACACACAGAAAGUCACAGGGGCGUUCCAACACUGUACAUCAAAGAACAGCAAGAUUUUUAUGACCCAAAAGGGACAAGACGAGUCACAAGAAAUGCGUGAAUCUUCAUGGAGGGCGUGGCAAGAACUAAUCACUGAGCUGAUGUAAGGGGACCACA